UACAGAGGUCCCAAGCGUUGUUCGGAUUCACUGGGCGUAAAGGGUGCGUAGGUGGUGGGGUAAGUCGGAUGUGAAAGCUCGGAGCUCAACUCCGAAAUGGCAUUGGAAACUACCCCGCUAGAGGGUCGGAGGGGGGACUGGAAUUCUCGGUGUAGCAGUGAAAUGCGUAGAUAUCAAGUGGAACACCAGUGGCGAAGGCGAGUCCCUGGACAACUCCUGACACUGAGGCACGAAAGCUAGGGGAGCAAACAGG
rnacentral:rRNA from 1 species